CGACUUGGAGGUUGUUCCCUUGAGGAGUGGCUUCCGGAGCUAACGCGUUAAGUCGACCGCCUGGGGAGUACGGCCGCAAGGUUAAAACUCAAAUGAAUUGACGGGGGCCCGCACAAGCGGUGGAGCAUGUGGUUUAAUUCGAUGCAACGCGAAGAACCUUACCUACUCUUGACAUCCAGAGAACUUAGCAGAGAUGCUUUGGUGCCUUCGGGAACUCUGAGACAGGUGCUGCAUGGCUGUCGUCAGCUCGUGUUGUGAAAUGUUGGGUUAAGUCCCGCAACGAGCGCAACCCUUAUCCUUUGUUGCCAGCGAUUCGGUCGGGAACUCAAAGGAGACUGCCGGUGAUAAACCGGAGGAAGGUGGGGAUGACGUCAAGUCAUCAUGGCCCUUACGAGUAGGGCUACACACGUGCUACAAUGGCGCAUACAAAGAGAAGCGACCUCGCGAGAGCAAGCGGACCUCACAAAGUGCGUCGUAGUCCGGAUCGGAGUCUGCAACUCGACUCCGUGAAGUCGGAAUCGCUAGUAAUCGUGGAUCAGAAUGCCACGGUGAAUACGUUCCCGGGCCUUGUACACACCGCCCGUCACACCAUGGGAGUGGGUUGCAAAAGAAGUAGGUAGCUUAACCUUCGGGAGGGCGCUUACCACUUUGUGAUUCAUGACUGGGGUGAAGUCGUAACAAGGUACC
rnacentral:rRNA from 1 species